rnacentral:rRNA from 1 species
GACGAACGCUGGCGGCGUGCUUAACACAUGCAAGUCGAGCGGUAAGGCCCUUUCGGGGGUACACGAGCGGCGAACGGGUGAGUAACACGUGGGUGACCUGCCCUCAGCUCUGGGAUAAGCCUGGGAAACCGGGUCUAAUACUGGAUAUGACUCCAUGACGCAUGUUGUGGGGUGGAAAGCCUUGUGCGGCUGAGGAUGGGCCCGCGGCCUAUCAGCUUGUUGGUGGGGUGANGGCCUACCAAGGCGACGACGGGUAGCCGGCCUGAGAGGGCGACCGGCCACACUGGGACUGAGACACGGCCCAGACUCCUACGGGGGGCAGCAGUGGGGAAUCUUGCGCAAUGGGCGAAAGCCUGACGCAGCGACGCCGCGUGGGAGGACGAAGGUACUUCGGAUGUAAACUCUGUCGAGAGGGACGAAUGCCGCGAGGGUGAACAAUCCUCGCGGUUGAC